UACAGAGGGGGCAAGCGUUAUUCGGAAUUAUUGGGCGUAAAGGGCGCGUAGGCGGCUUGGCAAGUGGAAGGUGAAAUCCCUCGGCUUAACCGAGGAACUGCCCUCCAAACUGCUUCGCUUGAGACCGGGAGAGGUGAGUGGAAUUCCCAGUGUAGCGGUGAAAUGCGUAGAUAUUGGGAGGAACACCAGUGGCGAAGGCGGCUCACUGGACCGGUUCUGACGCUGAUGCGCGAAAGCGUGGGGAGCAAACGGG
rnacentral:rRNA from 1 species